rnacentral:lncRNA from 1 species
CUAUGCGAGAUUCCAUCCAGCUCGGACUGGGUCGCGCCUCCGUGAAGCUCCUUGUCCCCGCAGAGGAAACGAGUACGUCCUGACGCUUUUUGCAAAAGCAAGCAGCUUUUGUCAGAGCAACCAACUUUGAGAGGCUCAAGGAAGGGAGCAAGCAGCGGGCGGGCCGCCUCCGACGCGUUGCCAAGCCACCGGGAGCUCGUCGCCGAAG